AAUACCAAAGACGAGGUUGAGAUGAGCACGACGGUGCACCGGUCGAUGGCGUUUCUAGGCGGCACGGUCGCAGUGGAGGAAGGCGGACCACAGGUGGUCGGUGGGGUUAUGUGGUUUCGACCGGCGGU
rnacentral:snoRNA from 1 species